CUGCUUAGGUCUUAAUAAAUUCACGCUCGAAAUUUCCAACUAUUGCUUUUAGGCUCGACCAGUGGAAUAUUCCCCCAAGUUAUUAUCUCAUCAGAUUCCCGUCUCGUUCCACAAACAUUACGAGAUUGAUCCAUAUAAAGUCUACAAGGAUUAUCUUGGCUAACACAAACCGGUGAGAAGUUCCGACCAUAACCGAACGACUGCAAGGGAGACUAUUAGCUGGUUUACACUAUCAAAGUUUCUGUGAUCACAGUAAGAAUUUUGCCUAGAUAAAUUCUAAGUUUUGAAGGAUUUGUAAGAAAUGUUUUGAGGGAACUGACCAUAGAAAUAAUAGAUAGAUUCUAUGGAACUGACUUAGUAUUAACACUUUUAUUAACCAUCAAUCAAAUAUAGAGGUGUAUCUUUUUCUGCUGGACACGGCUGCAGGCGUUUUCUUAGCCAAAGCCCCUAACCAAAACGCCUGCUCUGCAGGCUAUAUUAACACACGAGUCAGCUUCAUCAAACAUUUCUUACAAAUCCUUCAAAACUUAGAAUUUACCUAUGCAAAAUCCCGACUACGAUUACAGAAACUUUGAUAGUGUAACCAGACGUAACGUAAACCCUAAAGUACGAUGUAUAUGCCAUGUCCAAACGAAGUUUGGCAUGACUUUAUAUUCGCUGCGAGCGUUUGUUAGUUUGUUAGUCUAUUUUUUUGGAAUCAUAAGCCUUGGUAUUUAUUCAAAAGUAGUAUGUCUGCACUAGAGGUGUGCAAAUUGAAUCCGAUCCACUCCGAAAAUAUUCAUUUCUGAUUGGAUCGGAUUGAUAAAGUUGUUUCGUAGUUGGUUCGGAUCGGACUUCGAUAUUCGAAAUAUUUGGUUAAAUAUUUCUACUUGAAUGAGAAAUUUAUUUUAUUAAAGGAUUCUUCGGAUCGGAUCGGAAUUCUUCAUCAAAACUCGGAUCGGAUUCGGAUUAGACAAUUUCGGAUCGGAUUGGAUUUUAAACAUUAGCCAAUUGUCGGAUUAUAAAUGUCCAAUCCGAUCCGAUGCACACCUCUAGUCUGCACACUUGUGCAGCACCUGUUCUGGUUUUGUUUUGUUAUUUAUGUACUUAAAAAAUCAAAGAAGCUUUCUCGGCUCAAAUAAUGUAUGAGUAAAACGCAAAUGUAAUCGGCAUUGUAUUGUUGUUGCCUUGAUGACUUGUACAACAGUGACAAGUCGAAAUCAUUAGUGUUGACCUCUUCUGUAAAAUAUUGGAACUGCAGUAUAAAUUGUCUUUUGAAGGCCCUGGAGAAAUAAUUUAUUCCAGGAGGGAAAAGGAGGGCUAAUAGAGAGAGUGGUUUAUUGGGGAGGGGAGCUUUAUAGAGCGGGUGAUUGAUUGGGGAGAGGGGUUAACAGAGAGGGUGAUUCAUUGGGGGUGAGGGGGUUAACAGAGAGGGUGAUUCAUUGGGGAGAGGGGUUAACAGAGAAGGUGAUUCAUUGGGAAGAGGGGUUAACAGAGAAGGUGAUUCAUUGGAGAGAGGGGGUUAACAGAGAAGGUGAUUUAUUGGGGAGAGGGGGCUUAGUAAAGAGAGUGGCCUAUUGGGGAGAGGGAGUACGUUUAAUAGAGAGGGUGAUUUAUUGGAGAGAGAGGGGGAUUAAUAAAGAGGGUGGCCCAUUGGAGAGAGGGGGUACGUUUAAUAGAGAGGGUGAUUCAUUGGGGAGAGGGGGUUAAUAAAGAGGGUGACUCAUUGGAGAGAGGGGCUUAAUAGAGAGAGGGGCUUAAUAGAGAGGGGGGCUUAUUGGAGAAAGGGGUUUUUAAUAAAGAGGGUGGCUCAUUGGAGAGAGGGAGGUUCAUAGAGACGGUGAUUCAUUGGGGAGAGGGAGAGGUUCAUCAAAAUCAAUUGG